GAGAAACGUAAGGCUGUGGAGAAGUAUACAUAUAAUAGGGAGGAGAGUCUGUCGCUGUAUGAGAAGGAGAGAUACUCAAAGGAGGACACGCUGGAGGAAAUACACGAAAGCUUAGAGCCAAAGAGCUAUGAAGAUGAUUUUGACUCAAUACGGGCAUUUCCAAACGACACCGACAUCGCAUUUUCCAAUCCAUUAUACCGCGGUUGUCACACAGCGCCACCUAGACGAAGCGAGAUAACUCUUCUCUCUGCCUCUGAUGCUCUAUCGGACAGUGGCUGCAGUAGUAGUACAAACAGCGCAGGACAGGGUAGCACAGCACUACUGACCAGCCCCUGUUGAAUAUUGGCGCCCGUUUUUUUUAAAGAAUGAAAAUGUUUAUAUAUCUAUACCAGCCCUCUGUUGUGAAUUUAAAGCGGUUGCUUACUUUUACAAUUGAUAGGCCUAUCUGACAGGCCCU